GUUUUAACAUAGGAAACAUAGAAUUUGUUUUGGUAUGCUUUUAUUAGUUUAUGAUGUUCCUACCAGACAGCUAAAAAAUGAAGUCAUGCUCUCUGCAGAUAGCAACUUUGACAAAGCUGAUGCUUAAGACUGCAGAAGACUUGGUGCCCUGAGUCAAGGAAUAGCCAGAGAGAUUCAUUUCUACUCAGACCAGAGAUGACAGAAUGAAGCUUGGAGAUUAUGGCAGUAGAGAACAUAGCAUUCGGGAGCUUUGGGAAGGAAGCCAGCUGCAGCAAGAAGGACUUCAGGAAUCCGGGCUAAAGAAAAUGAAGCAGUAGAAAUGAGUAUCUUAGCUAUGUCCCUGAAUUCUUCAGAGUCAGUAAAGAGGAAUUACAAGGAGCGCUUGCUCAGGAAAUCUUCUAAGUGCCUGGAGUAACUAGCAACUGUAAAGGAGAAAUGCUUUACAUUUUCAAGAGUCAAGGAUAGGAACAAAAAUGUUGGCUUUGAUCUCCCCUGAUGCAGCAGAUCUCUACUCUUUCCUCGUAAAGAAUCCAGGAUGAUUUUCUUAGUGAAUUUCUACCGGAAAACAGUGAAAAUUUCAUUUAUCAGUCUGAAAUCUAUCCUCUCUGCUUUGCAAAGGAAGAAUGCAAUGAGAAAUAUACUCAUCGUACGCUGACAGGCUGGGCUAAACUUGGAUUUAUCCAAGUAAACAUGGCUCAAUUUGACACUCUCUGAUGAAUAAACAGGUCUUUGUCUUUAACCAUAUCCAGGAGGCAAAAUAUAUACAUAGAAAUGAAUUAGAUGAAGAGCUUCUUGUGCAAUUUCCAUUUAAAUUAGAAUACGGAACUGGUAAGAGAAAAACUCACGCACACUAAUUUAAAAGUUUAAAACUGUAAGUCCAACAAACUGUGGAAUAAUUCAUUACAACUUGAUGUGGCCUUAAUUUAAAGGCUCCUAUAAUUUAUUAAAGAAAUCAUUAACUUUCUUUUUUCCACAUGUCAAGAGAGUAAAAUAGAAUUUUUAAUCUAUGUGGAUGUUUUAGAUAAACACAACAGGAUCUAAAUUCCUGCUGAUCAGCCCUAGAUAGAAAUUACUGAGAAAAUACUUCAUCUUGUCCUUGCACAUUUGUUAUUUCUUUUACCACCCUCCCCUUUUUGUUUUUAAUAGAGGAUGGGGAUUGGUUCUUGAGGUGGAAAACUCUUGUUGGUAGUUUGUUUUCUUUCUUCAGUCUCCAUCCACCCUCUUGGAGAUUAGUAAUUUUAUCCAGCACUGAAUCACUGAGCACUAGUUGAAACUCACAGUACAUAGCAGUAAAUUUAAAAAACAAAAAAAAAAAAAAAAAAAAAAAACAACCCACACACAAGUAGAAAAAAACUAACUAGCUUAACUAUUUUGUGAAGCUUCAUGCUACACUAGGAGCAUAAGUAAAUAUAAUUUUGGUAUCCUUAUCUCCAUACUACACACAAGUUGAGGGUUUGUCAAUAUUCUUCUAGGCUCUUUUGAACAUUUAUCAGUCAGCAUUGGCAGCUGUGACUGAAUGACUGCUUGCUGAAUACCAAAUGUAGCAACAGAAAGCUGUCAUUCUUCAACAAGUUAAUUCUUUGAAAUUAUUAUUAUUUAAGAUAAGUUUUCUACAAAUACGUAAGUCAGACUUCCUACUGUCUCUGAAUUCUAGGAGGAGGUAAAAUACUUUUAUGCAAAUUGCAUCUGUAA